UUGUUUCCUCCUUUUGAUAGCGACUAACACCCUAAUUCCGUAAGGGAUAUGGUUUGACUGUACCUCUAGAGGAAGCCCCGGCUAACUACGUGCCAGCAGCGGCGCUAAUACUUACGGGGCAAGCGUUGUCCGGAUUCACCGGGUGUUAAGGGCGCGUAUGCGGAUUAGUAAUGCCCACGUGAAAUCCCGCCCCUUAACGGCGGAACUGCCUCUGAUACUGCUUAUCUUGAGUUGUGAAGACAGAAGCCGAAUUCCAAGUGUAUUAUUGAAACACUUAGAUAAAGUUUAAGAACACCUGUUGGUAAUGCGGCUUCGUGGUCCGUAAGGGACGAUUUUCCGCGAAACCGUGGGGAGCAAACUGGAUUAUACACCC
rnacentral:rRNA from 1 species